rfam:Nomascus leucogenys chromosome 25, whole genome shotgun sequence.
GGACAUGGUGGCACAUGCCUGUAGUCCCAACUACUUGGGAACCUGAGGCAGGAGGAUUGCUUGAAUCCAGUUCUGGGCUAUAGUGUGUUAUGCUGAUCAGGUCGUUAGCAUCAUUAUGGUGACUUUCCAGGGAGCAAAAGACCCACAAGUUUGCCUAUGAAGGGGUGAACCGGCUUAGGUCAGAAACAGAGCAGGUCAAAAAACUCCCAUGCUGAUGAGUAGUGUAAUCACAUCUGUGAACAGCCCUGCACUCCAGCCUGGGCAACAAAGUGAGACCUUGUUUUUU